rnacentral:rRNA from 1 species
AACGAACGCUGGCGGCAGGCUUAACACAUGCAAGUCGAGCGCCCCGCAAGGGGUGCGGCAGACGGGUGAGUAACGCGUGGGAACGUACCUUUUGGUUCGGAACAACUCCGGGAAACUGGAGCUAAUACCGGAUAAGCCCUAACGGGGAAAGAGUUAUCGCCGAAAGAUCGGCCCGCGUCUGAUUAGCUAGUUGGUGAGGUAACGGCUCACCAAGGCGACGAUCAGUAGCUGGUCUGAGAGGAUGAUCAGCCACACUGGGACUGAGACACGGCCCAGACUCCUACGGGAGGCAGCAGUGGGGAAUAUUGGACAAUGGGCGCAAGCCUGAUCCAGCCAUGCCGCGUGAGUGAUGAAGGCCUUAGGGUUGUAAAGCUCUUUUGUCCGGGAAGAUAAUGACUGUACCGGAAGAAUAAGCCCCGGCUAACUUCGUG